rnacentral:lncRNA from 1 species
AUGCUACCAUUCCAUGAUGCAAGUUUUUUUUUCUCUUUUCUUAGCUCAGUUGCAGUUGUACCACCACUUCUUUUAUAUCUGAGCUCAGUGUGGUGUAAAGAAUUGGAAGAGUUUCUAGGAAUCCCAUUACCUGGCAGGAAGCAAAAAACUUCAUUGUCUGUAAAAUGGAAGAGGAGGAGAGCAGCAGAGGGAAGAGCCCUGGCUGGAAUUUCCUGUGUUGUUCUGCAUAUGCAGGUGAGGCCUGGCAGGAUGGGAUGUUGUGGGUCUGUAAAUAUUGCUCAGUAUCUGCACCUCAGCUCUGCAGGAAACUUCAGUGUUGUGGGAAGCUGCUUGGCAGAUCAUGACCACUUCUAUGUCAUAUUUGGGGUUUCUUCUGGUUUUUUCUACAACAAUUGGAUUAUAAGAAAAUUAUGCUCUGUCAAAAUAGUCUUACAUUAGGGAAAGGCUGUUUGAUGUGCUGAAUGCCAGCUUUGUGUUGGUUUGUGUGUCACAAGCCAUCAAGAAACGUGAUGAAAUAGUGAUUCAAUCUAAAAUGCUGCCAGCCACAAGGAUGCCAGCAUCCUGUCUCAGAUAGGUUUGGAGGCUCUCUGUCCAUCUUUGUAAGUCUUGAGAAGUCCAGGUGACACAACUCAAUGUGCUGUAACAAUACCACAAACCAGGGAUAUAUUUUAGGCAGAUUCCUCUGUUUGUGUACAAUUGGGUCAAAAACCUCACAUGCAACCAAUUGUCA